UGGGGAAUCUUGGACAAUGGGCGCAAGCCUGAUCCAGCCAUGCCGCGUGAGUGAUGAAGGCCUUAGGGUUGUAAAGCUCUUUUGCCGGGGACGAUAAUGACGGUACCCGGAGAAUAAGUCCCGGCUAACUUCGUGCCAGCAGCCGCGGUAAUACGAAGGGGACUAGCGUUGUUCGGAAUCACUGGGCGUAAAGCGCACGUAGGCGGAUUUGUAAGUCAGGGGUGAAAUCCCGGGGCUCAACCUCGGAACUGCCUUUGAUACUGCGGAUCUCGAGUCCGAUAGAGGUGAGUGGAAUUCCUAGUGUAGAGGUGAAAUUCGUAGAUAUUAGGAAGAACACCGGUGGCGAAGGCGGCUCACUGGAUCGGUACUGACGCUGAGGUGCGAAAGCGUGGGGAGCAAACAGGAUUAGAUACCCCAGUAGUCCCUGAGCGGGCUGGCAAGGCGCAU
rnacentral:rRNA from 1 species